rnacentral:rRNA from 2 species
AGAGUUUGAUCCUGGCUCAGGACGAACGCUGGCGGCGUGCUUAACACAUGCAAGUCGAACGAUGACGGUGGUGCUUGCACCACCUGAUUAGUGGCGAACGGGUGAGUAACACGUGAGUAACCUGCCCUUCACUUCGGGAUAACCUCGGGAAAUCGUGGCUAAUACCGGAUAUGAGCUCCUACCGCAUGGUGGGUGUUGGAAAGAUUUAUCGGUGAAGGAUGGACUCGCGGCCUAUCAGUUUGUUGGUGAGGUAAUGGCUCACCAAGGCGAUGACGGGUAGCCGGCCUGAGAGGGCGACCGGCCACACUGGGACUGAGACACGGCCCAGACUCCUACGGGAGGCAGCAGUGGGGAAUAUUGCACAAUGGGCGAAAGCCUGAUGCAGCGACGCCGCGUGGGGGAUGACGGCCUUCGGGUUGUAAACCCCUUUCAGUAGGGAAGAAGCGAAAGUGACGGUACCUGCAGAAGAAGCGCCGGCUA